rnacentral:rRNA from 1 species
GAUGAACGCUGGCGGCGUGCCUAAUACAUGCAAGUCGAGCGAACAGACGAGGAGCUUGCUCCUCUGACGUUAGCGGCGGACGGGUGAGUAACACGUGGAUAACCUACCUAUAAGACUGGGAUAACUUCGGGAAACCGGAGCUAAUACCGGAUAAUAUAUUGAACCUCAUGGUUCAAUAGUGAAAGACGGUUUUGCUGUCACUUAUAGAUGGAUCCGCGCCGCAUUAGCUAGUUGGUAAGGUAACGGCUUACCAAGGCAACGAUGCGUAGCCGACCUGAGAGGGUGAUCGGCCACACUGGAACUGAGAGACGGUCCAGACUACUACGGGAGGCAGCAGUAGGGAAUCUUCCGCCAUGGGCGAAAGCCUGACGGAGCAACGCCGCGUGAGUGAUGAAGGUCUUCGGAUCGUAAAACUCUGUUAUUAGGGAAGAACAAAUGUGUAAGUAACUAUGCACGUCUUGACGAUACCUACUCAGAGAGCCACGGCUAACUACGUG